GUGUGUGUGUGUGUGUGCGCGCGCGCGCGGUUCGUUCGUGUCUCCUGGCUAGUAAGUACUGAGGGCUUCAUCUAUCUAAAAGGAGUCAUUUCCAUCUGAAUGUGGCAGCACCGGGACACAGCAGCAGAGCGAGUCAACAUCCAGAAGACUGGAGCCGUGUUUCACUGACAGGCUGUCAGACUAACGCCCUGAUGAGCUCAGCUGGGACAAACUGGUCUGAUGUUUAGGAACACAGAACGUUCAGAUGUUGGAGCUUCACGUCACCUACUGAGGAAGGAGACCCACCAGUAAAGAGACGGUCUGGACCAGACCAAAAAUAUGGCGAUGACAUCAUGGAACUGGUCUUUGGAAAAGUUUUCCCUGAACCAACUCAGUUUCUAGAUGAGGUAGAGAAGAUCUGCAUCUCACCAACUCUCUGGUCUCAGUAUUCAGACAACGGAGGUCUCCCACUGUUAUCCAGGACCAGUUUGAAGCCCACAUACUGCCCCUCCCUCAUCAUCAGGAAACAUCAAUCCGUAUCCUGAGGACAACAGAAGACGGCAGGAGGACAGGAACUCUGAGACCUAGAUACCACCAGCACCGGGACACAAAGCACCUGUGUGCACAAUGCCUGUUUAACUACUAAAACCUGUUUAUUAUAUUGUUCUACUUAUUUGCUGUGAGGUUAAUACUUAGAAAAUUAGUAUUUUAAUGUAAACAAUAAAAAAAUCACUGAUUGUAUGUUUUCUUUUAGAUGUAAUGGUCCAAACUCAGCCUUGUAGACAUUUAUUGCAUCCUGUAGGUAAAUACACAGAACAGGCUCAGAUCCAGGAUGACCCAGCAUGCUCUUCUUCCAUUCUGGCUGUUAGGGAUUGUAUCAAUAACUCAAUGCCUACUGAUGUUUUCACCUAACGGUAUUUAUUUAGAAUGCAGGUAAGAUUUAACUAUAUUUGUUAGCAAAGCAGACUGAUCUUGGGAAUUUCACUGCAGCACUGAUGUCCACCUGUGUGUACACAUUAGAGAGAAUUACCACUUUACAGCUAAACACAUU